AUGCAGUUCAAUGGGCCGACCUUCAACCGUCCGCCUGUCAUGCCGGAGCUGCGCUACCCACCGGGCGUGCUCGUGGAGAGUGAGAUCCGUGUGUGUGCUAUUUCAAGGUGGAGGGGUUCCGUCGAACUCACCCGCGCCUUCCUCAGAGCCGGCUAUGCCCACCUCCCACUGGGCUCGCCUAGGAUGUUCACCCUCAACGAGGUUCGAGACCGCGGCGGCAUCCUUUUUGAUGCGUCCACUACUACACUAGCAAAAGUUGAUCAAGCUACAAAUUCUAAUAUGAAAAUGAUGGGCGCCAUAGCACAUGAGAUUCCACCGGCACAUGAGAUUCCACCGGAAGAUGAUGUGAAACCCAACUUCAGAACGCCUUCACAGCAAAUUCUUAUUGGAUCGGUCCUCAUCAAUUAUUAUCCAGAGUCCUUGGAAAUAAAUCCCAGUGCACGACCCAGGAACCUAUCCGAAAAGCAUCAGGUUACCAAGAUGUAG
rnacentral:rRNA from 1 species